rnacentral:rRNA from 1 species
AGAGUUUGAUCCUGGCUCAGGACGAACGCUGGCGGCGCGCCUAACACAUGCAAGUCGAACGAGAGAGAGGGAGCUUGCUUCCUCAAUCGAGUGGCGAACGGGUGAGUAACGCGUGAGGAACCUGCCUCAAAGAGGGGGACAACAGUUGGAAACGACUGCUAAUACCGCAUAAGCCCACAGGUCGGCAUCGACCAGAGGGAAAAGGAGCAAUCCGCUUUGAGAUGGCCUCGCGUCCGAUUAGCUAGUUGGUGAGGUAACGGCCCACCAAGGCAACGAUCGGUAGCCGGACUGAGAGGUUGAACGGCCACAUUGGGACUGAGACACGGCCCAGACUCCUACGGGAGGCAGCAGUGGGGAAUAUUGCACAAUGGGGGAAACCCUGAUGCAGCGACGCCGCGUGGAGGAAGAAGGUCUUCGGGUUGUAAACUCCUGUUGUUGAGGAAGAUAAUGACGGUACUCAACAAGGAAGUGACGGCUAACUACGUGCCAGCAGCCGCGGUAAAACGUAGGUCACAAGCGUUGUCCGGAAUUACUGGGUGUAAAGGGAGCGCAGGCGGGAAGACAAGUUGGAAGUGAAAUCUAUGGGCUCAACCCAUAAACUGCUUUCAAAACUGUUUUUCUUGAGUAGUGCAGAGGUAGGCGGAAUUCCCGGUGUAGCGGUGGAAUGCGUAGAUAUCGGGAGGAACACCAGUGGCGAAGGCGGCCUACUGGGCACCAACUGACGCUGAGGCUCGAAAGUGUGGGUAGCAAACAGGAUUAGAUACCCUGGUAGUCCACACCGUAAACGAUGAUACUAGGUGUUGGAGGAUUGACCCCUUCAGUGCCGCAGUUAACACAAUAAGUAAUCCACCUGGGGAGUACGACCGCAAGGUUGAAACUCAAAGGAAUUGACGGGGGCCCGCACAAGCAGUGGAGUAUGUGGUUUAAUUCGACGCAACGCGAAGAACCUUACCAAGUCUUGACAUCCUGCGACGAUGCUGGAAACAGUAUUUUCCUUCGGGACGCAGAGACAGGUGGUGCAUGGUUGUCGUCAGCUCGUGUCGUGAGAUGUUGGGUUAAGUCCCGCAACGAGCGCAACCCUUACUGUCAGUUACUACGCAAGAGGACUCUGGCAGGACUGCCGUUGACAAAACGGAGGAAGGUGGGGAUGACGUCAAAUCAUCAUGCCCUUUAUGACUUGGGCUACACACGUACUACAAUGGCGUUAAACAAAGAGAAGCAAGACCGCGAGGUGGAGCAAAACUCAGAAACAACGUCCCAGUUCGGACUGCAGGCUGCAACUCGCCUGCACGAAGUCGGAAUUGCUAGUAAUCGUGGAUCAGCAUGCCACGGUGAAUACGUUCCCGGGCCUUGUACUCACCGCCCGUCA